rnacentral:lncRNA from 1 species
CCAUCUAUUCAUCUAUUCACUCAUCCCUCCAUCCCUCCAUCCAUCUUUGUUUUGUUUUUUUUUUUUUUUUACAUUUUGCCUCAACCGCCCCCGGAGCCCCGAGCUGGGGCCGGGGCUGCGCCAGGCGCCGGCGGCGGCCAUGGCGGGAGCGGCUGCGGGGCUGCGGGCGGCGGCGGCGGCGGUGGCGAAGGAGGAAGAAGAAGCGGCGGCGGUGGACGCCGAAGCGAACCGGGGCGCCGCCCUCCAUCCAUCUUUGAACAAAUAUUUCUUGAGCACGUUCAACACUUGGUCACACUCAGUGCUUUUCCAGCCCAGCGGCUAGGCCUUGGACAAUGUGGGGAGGAUGACGGCCAGUUCCGCACCCCCGCCCCCGCCCGCCACCACCUGCUUGCCGUGGCUGGGAUUUCACUGGACUGGGGAGGAAUUCUUUCCGAGGAGUCCCUUCUGGAGGCCUCGUCCUUCCUCUGGAAGUGUAUGACUUUUAAGAAUGAAGAAAGAGUCUUUUCUAAGAGACAUGUGUAUCUAGCUGUGUGA